CCUACGGGGGGCAGCAGUAAGGGAUAUUGGUCAAUGGGGGAAACCCUGAACCAGCAACGCCGCGUGAGGGAAGACGGUUUUCGGAUUGUAAACCUCUGUUCUCUGUGAAGAUGAUGACGGUAUCAGAGUCGGAACCUCCGGCUAACGAUGCGCCAGCAGCCGCGGUAAGACGUAGGGAGCGAGCGUUGUCCGGAUUUACUGGGUGUAAAGGGUGCUUAGGCGGCUUGGCAAGUCAGUAGUGAAAUCCAUGGGCUUAACCCAUGAACUGCUAUUGAAACUGUCGAGCUUGAGUGAAGUAGAGGUAGGCGGAAUUCCGGGUGUAGCGGUGAAAUGCGUAGAGAUCGGGAGGAACACCAGUGGCGAAGGCGGCCUGCUGGGCGUUAACUGACGCUGAGGCACGAAAGCGUGGGUAGCAAACAGGAUUAGAUACCCCAGUAGUC
rnacentral:rRNA from 1 species